AAGGAGGUUAAGACAAGUGGUGGUGGUGGUGGUGGUGAUGGUGGUGUGAAACCGAGGAUAAGACUGUAUCAUCAGUCUGAUGAUAUUUUGAAUAUCAAUUAUUUAACUUCUGCAACACCUGAGGACAAGACAGGAGCCAGCUCCUCCCAGAAUGAGCCCACACCUGCACCUGAGGACACACCCACACCUGCACCCAAGCCUUCACCCACCCCCAGCACCCACUCCAGCAUCCAGCACAGCCCAGGGGAAGGCCCAGGGCAGGCAGCCAAGGGCCGAGGCAGGGGCAGGGGUGUGGCGUGGGGGAGGAGAGUGUGAAGUGUGUGGGUUAGGUUUGUAUGUGGUACUUUGUCUGGGCUGCUCCAUAUGUGGGAGAGCUCGGUUGGUGUAGAGAUGGAUAGAUAGAUGUGUGUGUGUGUGUGUAUGUGUGUGUGUGUGAGGGAUUUGUACUUCAUUCAAGCAUCUUUUAUUUUUACUACUGCUACUAUCUUGUUCACUACUGGAAGAUUAGUACUAAGAUGUGAUUCUUGUUAUUUUUAAGGGUAUUAUUCCAAUGUUUUUUGUAUGAUUGCAUCUCAUUCCUGUUGUACUUAGAGAGAGAGAGAGAGAGAGAGAGAGAGAGAGAGAGAGAGAGAGAGAGAGAGAGAGAGAGAGAGAGAGAGAGAGAGAGAGAGAGAGAGAGAGAGAACAGGCCCCAUUGCACAAACUAAUGAUAAAAAAAACUCACAACCAUUCCAAAAAGUAUAAAUAUGUUAGUUUUGUCAGUAGAUUUUGCAAGAAAGGAAAUUUGAAAUACAGGAGUGUGUGGGAGAGGCAAAGGAUAUGUAGGACGGCAGAUUAGUGUGUGAAGGAUGUGUAGGAGAGGCUGAGGAUAUCCUGUACACUGUGUCAGGUUGGUUAAGGGUGAUUUGGAAGGAAGCUAGUGUGUGAAGGAUGCAUUAGGUAGGAUGUGUAGUAGUGGGUACAAUGUGUUAAGAAUGAUAUGUAUGUUACAGGAGAUAAGGAUGUGUAUUUUCACCACAAGUAUGUGUAGAGAUUGGUGUUAACACAGUAGGAAGGUUUGAUUAAGCUGGACCAUCAUUCCUUGUGUUGUCUUAAUAAAUGUAUGCAAACUGA